AUUGUUUCUCGGCCUUUUGGCUAAGAUCAAGUGUAGUAUUUGCAUAUGUGUUUCACAAAAGUAAUGUGAAAUGACACAUACACAUACCACAAACAUUUAACACACACCCAUA
rnacentral:snRNA from 1 species